CCUACGGAGGCUGCAGUGGGGGAUAUUGCACAAUUGGGGGAACCCUGAUGCAGCGACGCCGCGUGGGCGAUGGAGUGCUUCGGCAUGUAAAGACCUAUCAGCAGGGAAGAAAAUGACGGUACCUGACUAAGAAGCCCCGGCUAAAUACGUGCCAGCAGCCGCUGGAAUACGUGUGGGGCAAGCGUUAUCCGGGUUUACUGGAGGUAAAGGGAGCGUUGGCGGCCUGGAAAGGCUGAUGUGAAAUACCGGGGCCCAACCCCCGGGCUGCAGUGGGAACUGCCAGGCUGGAGUGCCGGAGAGGCAGGCGGAAUGCCUAGUGUAGCGGUGAAAUGCGUAGAUAUUAGGAGGAACACCAGUGGCGAAGGCGGCCUGCUGGACGGUGACUGACGCUGAGGCUCGAAAGCGUGGGGAGCAAACAGGAUUAGAUACCCUUGUAGUC
rnacentral:rRNA from 1 species